UUCAGUGUUAGUAGAUUUCAACAGAGUUCCGAGUUAGUUCAACACUUAAUCGAGUUAAAAUAACACAUCGGGAGUUGAUUCCUGAAAAGUGUAAGUGUAGAUUUUAGUCGUUACUGCAUUUUAACACUGUGGGUGUUAAAUUAGACCACACCUUCAUUUCCUGUGGAGCUUCGCAAUCCAGAAUCUUCGGUCGCCAUUUUUUCUUGCUGAUGCGGUGGUGAUAUGCUGGUUCCCGAGAAGAGAUGAACUAAUCAAAGUCAGCUUUUCAAGACAGCCCCAAGACUCUUCGCAACUUGUGUUCAAAUGUGAGGCCGUUGUCAGGUGAUAAAUGCAAGGAAGAGGCACUCAACUGACAUGAAACAUGUCAAAGACAACAUGAAGGUGACAUUUCAACAUAGGCAAAAAGUGGUUCAAGAACCUGCCAUAGCUUCUACUGUCCUGGACCUUUUCCCAAGAUUUCUGGAUACACCUGGCUUGAUUGACCAAGACUUCACAAUGCUGUUUUUUGGGGAGGAAGUGUCUGGUAAGUUCCUUGCAAAGUGGCCAACAUUCUUCAAGCCAAGGAUCAUCAAAGAUUGCAAAAAUCUGUCCC